rnacentral:rRNA from 1 species
GUAAUAAUAGUUAUGUUCUUUAAACCUAAAGAAUUUGGCGGUGUUUUAGUCUAUUCAGAGGAAUUUGUUUCGUAAUUGAUAAUCCUCAAUUUAUCUUACUUGAUUUUGUUUUCAUUUUGUAUAUCGCCGUUAUAAGUUUAUUUUUUUAGAAUUUUAAUUUACUUUAAAUUUUAUUUGCUUUUAUUUCAGGUCAAGGUGCAGAUUAUGAUUAAGUGUAUAAUGAAUUACAAUAUUUAUAAAUAUAACGGAUUUUUAUUUUAAAUUUUUAAAUUGAAGGUGGAUUUGAUAGUAAUUUUAAUAAUAGUGUUAUUUUGAUUUUAGCUCUAAGAUGAGUACACAUCGCCCGGUCGCUCUA